rnacentral:lncRNA from 1 species
AUAAUGACAAUGUUUGUCCAGCACCAACUAUGUUCCAGGCACUUUGCAUCCACCAUCUCAGUCCCUCCAACCCCCAGGAGGCAGGCCUUACAAUUAUCCCCAUCUUUAGAAGACAAACCUGAGGCCCAGAGAAUCAAACUGACUUUCACAGGACACCUGACAAGAAGGAGCAGAGCUAGAAUCUCAGUCUAGGCUCCUGGCUCCGCAAACAUCAUUCCAAGGCCCAUUUACACCACAACCCCUGCCCUUGGGCAAAGUGAAGAGAGCUGCUCAGUGUCCGGUGACACGGAUCAGUCAGCACAUCCUGCUGUGUAACAAAGGCACACAACCUGGGGCAUUUCCACCCCGCGGCUGAAGUGGUCAGCUAGGCGUCCCUGCUGACGCUGGCUGGGCUACUUACUCGUCUGAAGUUCUGCUGGGGUGAACGAGCAUCUCCUCUCCGUCCUCAGUCCAGGAGCUCAGGCCCUGCUCACACAGAUGGCAGAGGUGCCCAAGGACUAGUGGAGGCAGGUAAGUGUGCCUCCAAGCUUCUGCCUGAGUGACGUCUGCCAGCACCCUAUCGGCCAGAGCAAGUCACAGAGUGAAACCCAGCUUCCAGGGACAGGGAAAUCUACCCACCACUUAAUAGAAGGAGCUACAAAGCCCUCAGCAAAGGCUGAAGCCCUGAGGCCACUUAUGCAUGCAUUCCACCUGCACAGCCUCUGAGGCAGGAAUGGCAGCCGGAGGGAAAAUCAACGCCAGCAAUUUGAGAGACUCACCGGAGUCACCCGUUUCCAGGCGGCCCCUCUCUCUGCCGGUGUGCUCCUGGGCUCCGGGAACCAGCCCACAGACGGCCGUGACCCAGUCCUCCAUCUCACACAUGCUAGGGGUCCAGCCUUCUUAUUCACAGUCUCGGAUCCUCAGGACCUGAAAAAGAAAGAUCACCAGCUCCAUUUUAUGUAGGAGGAAACCUAGACUCUGGAAACUUAAACACCUCACCAAGAGUCCCCAGGGAAGGAGAGCAGAGCCCUGCGGGAACCCAAACCUGCCUGAACGCUCUGCUCAGGCCCCAGCCCUGCCUCUCAGACUCAGCUGCCAUCACUCUAUAGUACUGAACUGGCAGGGCCCCUGGGGUCCUGCUUUGGAAGGCGGGGACUGUGAUCCCCCCGCCUGGAUUCAGACCUUACUUCUGCCAGCCCUGCACACACACUGGGCCUCCUGG